GCAAUUCUAUUUUAUUAUAAAAAAAAUUUUUUUCUUCAAUUUGGAAAUGUAUUGUAAGAUACCAAAGCAUUUUUUUCUCAUUUAAAAUACUCUAUAAUAAUUUUAUCUCAAUAUAGAAUCAAUACACUUGUGUAUGACGGAAUACAUAUUCACGUGAAGUCUUACUCAUCCACGUAGAAUUGUAUAAUACCAUACGCAAGAGAGAAACGCUUAGCGGAUAAAUCUAUCCCGGUAAAUCACAACGGAUGUAAUCCACUACGUUUAUAAUUCAUGGAAAGACAACGUGCAGUAUCACAUGAGAAAACCUUGAACCCCUUCACGGAAGUUAGACUAGUUGAAGUCGUGAAUACAAAGUUUUUUCCCCCUUCGUAUCCUGACGAUCGCUUGUUCGAUUCUUAGAAAGGAAGUCGCGCGGAAUAGCGCAGUCGCAUUUAACCAUCCGCGAUCAAGCUCUCGCGCAGUCUUGUCAGUAACCAUAGAGCUCUCGUCAGUUCAAUGAUAAGUAGAACUACCAUGGAAAGAGCGAACCCUAUCGCGAGUGUCUAUGAUCCCAAGAAAGGCACGCAGUUAAGUAUCGAGUUGAAUCGCUGGAUAUUGAAGCCAAUCGGUGUCUGGCCCAAAUCAGUUCAUCUCUCAUGGAUGGGAAAAUUCGUGUACCUUCUGAUAAACGUAAUUUGUAUCACUUUCGUCUGCUUCCUCUUACUACCUGCUGCCAUCAACGUAGAACUUGACAAAGAAGAAUUUACGUAUCGUAUGCUAAGACUCUCUUCGAUUCGGGGUUUCUCCAUAAUGACCAUUAUAAAGUAUUUAUCGUUGAUAUUCCGUGAGAACGAUAUCCGCAAUGGUAUUCAACAUAUCGAGAUCGACUGGAUGAAUACUCAGCGUUAUGAAGAUCGAAUCAUCAUGAUCAAGAAUGCGAAAUUCGGCCGGCGCAUCGUGACAAUCGUCGCGUUCGUGACGUACGGCAGCGCCUUUUUCUAUUAUAUAGCUUUACCGUUAAAUUCCAUCAUGAUGACGAAAAACGAUGAAAACUUGACGUUUCAGCUACAAAUGAAUCCGGCUGCCACGGAAACCAUCGACAAAAAAUACAAUUUUAAUGAUAUUUUUUUCUUCUGGAUGCAGCUUGUGUCGGGUUUCAUCGCACACUCCGUCUAUGCCGGUACACUCAGCUUAGCUGCCGUAUUUGCAGUGCACGCAUACAGUCGCCUAGAAGUUUUAAUGCAGUGGAUCCAACAUCUCGUGGAUGGACGGGAAGAUUUAUGUGAUAACGUGGAUGAGAGAUUGAUGACGAUCGUGCAACAGCACGUUCGAAUCAUACGUUUUAUAUCACUAACAGACAAGGUACUGCGCGAAAUAUCUUUCUUGGAUAUAACAUGCUCAACAUUAAUUAUGAUUCUUCUUGGAUAUUUUUGUAUCAAGGAAUGGGAGACUAGAGAAAUUACAAAUUACCUAACAUUUAUUGUUCUGCUUAUGUGUAUGACGUUCAAUAUUUUUGUACUCUGUUACAUUGGCGACAUUGUUACAGACAGGAAAGUAGCUCCUAGCAGCGUAUAUAAGUCUAGAUAUGUUUUAAAUAAAAGAAAUGAGAAAAGCAAUCCUCUAAACAGUGCAAGAAAAUCGGAGAGGUGUCGUAUAUGACUGAUUGGUAUCGUCUGCCAGAAAGAAAAAAUCUUGCCCUCGUGUUGAUGAUCGCUAUGUCCAAUGCAUCAAUCAAACUUACUGCCGGAAUCUUCGAAUUGUCUCUUAGUACUUUUGGCGAGGUGAUUAAAGUAUCCCUUGCCUACUUGAACGUGUUGCGUACAGUAAUGACAUAAAACUUGUUCGAUGUAGAAAUUAUUAAUGCAUCUAUUGGUUGCAAAUAAGUGUCAAUUAAAUAAUCAAUAUGUAUAGAAAUAUAGUAAUGAAUAUUAUAAGGAAUAGAAAAUUGUAUUUAUUAAAA